rnacentral:rRNA from 1 species
UAGUCCACGCUGUAAACGAUGUCUACUAGCCGUUGGUUUCCUUGAGGAAGCAGUGGCGCAGCUAACGCGAUAAGUAGACCGCCUGGGGAGUACGGCCGCAAGGUUAAAACUCAAAUGAAUUGACGGGGGCCCGCACAAGCGGUGGAGCAUGUGGUUUAAUUCGAUGCAACGCGAAGAACCUUACCAGGUCUUGACAUCCUGAAAACUUUCUAGAGAUAGAUUGGUGCCUUCGGGAAUUCAGUGACAGGUGCUGCAUGGCUGUCGUCAGCUCGUGUCGUGAGAUGUUGGGUUAAGUCCCGUAACGAGCGCAACCCUUGUCCUUAGUUGCUAGCAGGUAAUGCUGAGGACUCUAGCGAGACUGCCGGCGUAAGCCGCGAGGAAGGUGGGGACGACGUCAAAGUCAUCAUGGCCUUUAUGCCUAGGGCCACACACGUGCUACAAUGGUGCAUACAGAGGGUAGCGAAGCCGCGAGUGGAGCCAAUCCCAGAAAGUGCA